rnacentral:ncRNA from 1 species
UGGGAGCUUGGGUGGUUGGGGGCCGUGGGCAGCCUGCAAAGAGCCAUCAACCCCUCACCCAGGCUGGCCAGCCACCCCAGCAGGACCCCACCCUGAUCCGGGACACCCUUCAGGGGAAAUCAGCUGGCCCCCACCCAUGCACCAGGCCUCUAUCCUAUAUAAUAAAAGGGUAAUAUGACUCUCUUAAGGUAGCCAAAUGCCUCGUCAUCUAAUUAGUAACAUGCAUGAAUGGAUGAACAAGAUUCCCACUGUCCCUACCUACUAUCCAGCAAAACCACAGCCAAGGGAACGGGCUUGGCGGAAUCAGCGGGGAAAAAAGACCCUGUUGAGCUCGACUCUAGCCUGGCAUGGUGAAGAGACAUGAGAGGUGUAGAAUGAGUGGGAGGCCCCACGAGGGGGUGGGGAGGGGGGCACGCCGGCCUUGUGGGCCACCGGUGAAAUACCACUACUCUGAUCAGUUUUUCACUGACCCGUGAGGCGGGGGGGUCAGGGGGUGGGGGAAGGUGGAGCCCCAAGGGGCUCUCACUUCUGGCGCCAAGCACCCGGCGGCUGCGUGCCAGCUGGGCGCAACCCGCUCCGGGGACAGUGCCAGGUGGGGAGUUUGACUGGGGCGGUACACCUGUCAAACAGUAACACAGGUGUCCUAGGUGAGCUCAGGGAGGACAGAAACCUCCCAUGGAGCAGAAGGGCAAAAGCUCGCUUGACCUUAAUUUUCAGUAUGAAUACAGACCUUGAAAGCAGGGCUUCACGAUCCUUCUGACCUUCUGGGUUUUAAGCAGGUGUCAGAAAAGUUACCACAGGAAUAACUGGCUUGUGGUGGCCAAGCGUUCAUAGCGACGCCACUUUUUGAUCCUUCCUAGUCAAUCUAUAAAAGUGGCUUCAGCUCAGAUAAAUCCCCAGCAGAAUGGCAGAGGCCGUAUAUGCCACAUAAACAUAAAUAUUGCUAAGGUCCUUAAACUUAGCAAAUCAAAUCCAGCAAAUACAAAAAUAGAUCAUGGCAAUGGAAUUUAUUCCAGGAAUGUCAGAUUAAGAAAAAAGAAAAUCAGCAAUUAACAUGAACAGAACAGAAGAGAGAAAUCUCAAAAGAUGAAGGCAAAGCAUUUUAAAAUUCAAUACUCCGUUACUGCAAAAAUUCAGCAAACUAGGACUAGACAGCAACUUUCUCAACCUAAAAGGACAUUCAUAAAAAUCCUAUAGUUUACAUAAUCCUGUAUUAUAAAACAUUAAAUGUUUUCUUCCCUAAGAUUAGAAGGCAACAAUACCUACAUACUUCUCUCCAACAUCACGUUAGAGGUCAUAGCCAGUACAAGUCAAGAAAUAAGUUCAUUUCUUAUAGUCAUUAUUGGCUAUAAGUAUUUAUUUACCCCAUGGAAGUGGGCAGGCAGGCAGACAACAGGUAGGCUGUAUAGACUUGAGUUCUAGCACCCACAGCCUCUGCCCCAGUGGACUAAGAGGAAGGAAUGCAGUUGGAUGUUCCCAAGGUCCUUCAAUGCAUCCCACCCCAGAGUUGGGGCACAGGGGUGCCACAAUUACAGCAUCUUUCCACAAGUUCCCAGGAAUACUUUCCAUAUGUGCAAGAGGAAGCAAGUGCCGAGGGAAGAAGUGUGGCCCAGGGAAGCAUGGGCAUCGUCUGCUUGCAUAGAGUACUUAUUCCAGGGCAGACCUUCCACUGAGAUCCUAGCUACCUUGCUUGUGAGCAAGGCUCAGAACAGAUAGGCAGAACUUGGGAGGAGAAAUUAGUGAUUAAAUGAGAGCCAGGGGAUCUUUCUCUCAGUUCUAGCCUCCUCACCCUGUUGCCCCACACCCCAUUGGGUCAGCCUCACUCAUAUCCUGGGGGACCAGAGAAGCAAAGCAGGGGACUUUUGCUCUGGUUCCAGAGUCUUCUUCACACCUGUCUCCCCUACCAUCUUCUCUGGGCACUGAGCAGGGACUCUGGAAAGGUCCACACUGGGAUCUGAGGGACCUUGGCUACUUUUAUUUAAUUUCCCUAAAUGGCAAGGAACCUUCCUGUUGCAACCCUACACCAAAUAAGUCAUUUAGAUGUGGCCACCAAGAGAACUGGAGAAACCUCGAGACUCAUAGCCUCUCUUCUUUUGUAAGUUUCUGUGGAGCUAAACAACUAACCUCCCUAAUUGUCAAUAUGUAAUAUACCCCAUCCUUAGGAAAAGGGAUCUUCCACCUUAGGGAAUGAAGGACUCUGUGGCCCAAUGUCUAAGUUUAUAGUAGGUUCCCUUCACACCUGAUACAUACAAGGUGAGCUGUCUAGUUUCUAUGUAUUUAAGGCAUCUUUUCAUAUAUACUAAUGGUGCUGACUUUAUUAGUCACUCCGUAGUAAGCUGCCCUGCUUCCUAGAUUAAUGUUGGUGAAGACUUAUGACUCCACAUAACACUUUGGCUUUAAAUACUUCUCAUUGUAAUGUUCACAGCACUCUAAUAGCAAACUCAUUGAUUUCUUCUGUGAGUGGCUUACAUACUGCUAAUGGCUAAGAAAACAUUUUCUUAUUCAAGAACCCAGCUGAGGUGAAACUCUCCACUUAUUGGCACAGAAAAACUCAGAGUAGCCAACUAACCAACUCAAGGCUACCCAACAAAGCUCAUGCCAGAGAAAUGAGGGUGAAACUUGGAAGUAGACUUUAAUGCAUUCCAAUGUUUAAUACUUUUAGCUGCUGUAGGUGCAUCUAGUGUCAGCUGUCACAUACCCUUACAUAUUGCUAAUGGCUAUUAGUCUGAUGUAGUAGGCAGUUAGACAUGAGCAGAGUGGGAAUGACAGGUCAGGUACUGAGGGGUCACCUGGGCAGAAAGCCCCAGGUACUUAGCAACAGACAAUUGUAAGGUGAGACCUCACCCCUAGGAUGAUCUUUCCUCCUCAACAUAUUUCUGGUCACAUGGUUUAGACCCCUUGACCUUUUGUAUCACUGGUCAUGUGGUUUGGAGCCUCCCCUGAACUCUCCCUUCCCUGGCAGGUUGCUUGCUAGUCAUGCAGUAGACCCCCUUAUAGAAGUAACAAGGGGCCAGAGAAUAGCCUCGUAGGACUCCCAUGCCAUCCCUUGCAUGACCACUCCCUUAAGUAUCAAGCUCUCAGGAUAAUGAGGUUCUGACCUCCAUCAAAUAAUCUUAAGAACAAAGUGUUGGGUCUGUUGACCACAGAGUUUUGGUCAAACUAGAGACAACACCUAGCCUCAGUUGUGUUUCAGCUCCAGGCCCACAAAAGCAGCAAGGUCAGCCAGGAUGACACCAUAGCUGAUAUUAGGAUCAGCUAUGAUGACUAAUGACCUCCUGCCAUGGCUCGAGACCAUGACCCUGAUGGGACACAGCUGGCAAACUGAUGCAUAUUCCAUUGAAAUCCUCCUGAGACUUCCAGAUAAAAACCCUCAAGUCUAAGACUUCAAUGCCCGCCUGUUUGCGCUCUCUCUCUCUCUCUCUCUCUCUCUCUCUCUCUCUCUCUCUCUCUCUCUUUCUCCCUCCCUCUUUUUUUCUCGC